GUGCCAAGCAGCCGCGGUAAUUCCAUCACUGAGAGCUAUUUCUUUCGUUGCUGCAAUUAAAACGUCCGUAGCCGUUGGUAGUUCGCGUGUCACUUUGAGAAAAUCGGAGCGUUCAUAGCAGGCUAGCCGCUGUACAGCACAGCAAAGCACGACAUCGCGGCAGCAAUGCCGCAUGGAGUACAUGGCGGCACGUGGUCAAUUGUAUUCCGGGGGGACAGGCGAAAUAGGAUGAUCCCCGGAGGACACCCAGGAGCGAAGGCAGUUGACAAGUGCCGUCCAGUUGGUCAAGGACGAAAGUGUGGGGAUAGACGAUGAUUAGAUACCGUUUUAUUCCACGCCUUAAACGCUACCAUCUAGACAGCGGGCGCAGUGCUCGCAGUCCCAAGGAAACCGGAAGGCUUCAGGCUUUGGGGGAAGUAUGGUUGCAAGACUGAAACUUGAAAGCAUUGACGGAAAGGUACCACAAGACGUGGAGUCUGCGGCUCAAUUUGACUCAACACGCAAAAUUUACCAGGCCCAGAGGCUUUAUGGAGCGACAGAUUGAGAGUUCUUUUGCGAUUAGGCCGAUAGUGGUGCAUGGCCGCUCCUAGUUCGUGGUGUUAACUGUCUGCUUUAUUGCGAUAACGAGCGAGAUCCCUAGGUUGUAUCAACAACCGAGCGCCAGCGCUGAGUUGGACGAGCGUAGGGGCUCUAGCAGGUCUGUGAUGCCC
rnacentral:rRNA from 1 species